UCAUGCCACCAUGAUAUGUAUACUUUUUGAAAAGCUACAAUAAUGUUGUUUGUACCUCUCCUGUUAUACUACUAUCCGCAUGCAGGAUAUACACCAUUUGAGAGUGUGUAACGAUGUAGAUUAAGGUAGACUGCGAAGCUACUGCGCCCUGUUAAUAGGCGGAAUAACUUACAAGUUCACUCAACACUGAAUGGAAUCUCCAGAGUUACAAUGACAGGCAGAGUAAUCACAUUUUGCCAACCACAAAUCAAGAACACAAUAGAAGACAAUUAUUUAUUUCUCCUUUUAUACUUAAAAUAAAAUAAAUAUAAGUCAGUAAAAAUGACAAGCAUGCACAUGGAAAGCAACUGACACUAU